AAGGAUUUAAGUUAAAUAAACUUUUAGCCUUCAAAGUUAAAUAUAGACCUUUGUCUAAGCCUUA
rnacentral:tRNA from 1 species